CAACUACUCCCUCCGUCCGAAAAAGCUUGUCUCUCAAAUGGGUGUAUCUAGCACCAAGUUAGUGCUAGAUACAUCCAUUUGAUGGAUAAGCUAGGGACAAGUUUUUUCGGACCGAGGGAGUAGUAA
rfam:Triticum aestivum genome assembly, contig: Triticum_aestivum_CS42_TGACv1_scaffold_404129_5BL